rnacentral:rRNA from 1 species
GAUGAACGCUGGCGGCGUGCCUAAUACAUGCAAGUCGAGCGAACGGACGAGAAGCUUGCUUCUCUGAUGUUAGCGGCGGACGGGUGAGUAACACGUGGAUAACCUACCUAUAAGACUGGGAUAACUUCGGGAAACCGUAGCUAAUACCGGAUAAUAUUUUGAACCGCAUGGUUCAAAAGUGAAAGACGGUCUUGCUGUCACUUAUAGAUGGAUCCGCGCUGCAUUAGCUAGUUGGUAAGGUAACGGCUUACCAAGGCAACGAUGCAUAGCCGACCUGAGAGGGUGAUCGGCCACACGGGAACUGAGACACGGUCCAGACUCCUACGGGAGGCAGCAGUAGGGAAUCUGCCGCAAUGGGCGAAAGCAUGGCGGAGCAACGCCGCGUGAGUGAUGAAGGUCUUCGGAUCGUAAAACUCUGUUAUUAGGGAAGAACAUAUGUGUAAGUAACUGUGCACAUCUUGACGGUACCUAAUCAGAAAGCCACGGCUAACUACGUG